UACGUAGGGGGCAAGCGUUGUCCGGAAUCAUUGGCGUAAAGCGCGUGUAGGCGGCCCGGUAAGUCCGCUGUGAAAGUCGGGGGCUCAACCCUCGAAUGCCGGUGGAUACUGUCGGGCUAGAGUGCGGAAGAGGCGGAGUGGAAUUCCUGGUGUAGCGGUGAAAUGCGCAGAUAUCAGGAGGAACACCGAUUGCGAAGGCAGCUCGCUGGGACGUCACUGACGCUGAGAACGCGAAAGCGUGGGGAGCAAACAGG
rnacentral:rRNA from 1 species